GUACAUUCCUAUAGCAUAGUGUUAAUGCACCGAAUCCCAUUAGAACUUUGUAUUUAAGCAUGCUUGAGCUAGAGUAGUACUGGAAUGGGUGACCACCUAGGAAUUCCUAGUGUUUUACU
rnacentral:rRNA from 1 species